rnacentral:lncRNA from 1 species
GUUGGAAGUCCCGUUGAGCUUGUCCCAUCUGAAGGUGCAAGGACACUGCUCCUGGAAACAAAAGCUCCUUGUGUGCUGGGGUCUGAACUUCGAGGAGAUCUGAGACGCUGCAAGGAACCUCAAGGCAGAGCAACAUCUGGGGGCAUAAUCCCCACCACAGCACAGGAUACCUGGGGGCAGAGUCUCUCUGUGAGUGGGGACAUCACUGUGGGGUUUGGUUAUAUGCACAGGCUUUCGAGUGUGCUUUUGGAAACUCCUUCGCUUGGUGCCUUGCGGGUAGUGGAGCCUUCUUUGCAGCCAGCAGGUGUGGGUCUGGAGAACAGGCAGUCUGUCCUGCACCCUACCUGGAGGCCAGAAGAUCAAGGAGACCAACAGUUUACUAUUAAACCAACGCACACAAGUUCCCUGGACCUGGCCGCGCACUUACACUCUUUGUCCCUUGACAGAAGAGAAAGCAAAGAGAGCACAGAUACCACCACAUACCGAGGGAUCAGCAGAGUCAGUUUAGAGGAGGAUGAAAGCCAUCCCCAGUUGAGUGUCUUGGCUGAUGGUGCAGUGAGUAGUGAUGCUGGUGGCCUUGCAAAGACCCUCAUGCCCAGCCUGAGUAGCCUGUAUGAAGUGGUAAAUGGGGACCACUCACAUCUGCUACCUGAGAGAAGUCAAAGGUACCAAAGCAGUUUGGGGCAUUUGUCCAUGACUCAACCUGAGUUGGGAAAAGCUGGCCUCCAACAUACAAAGCUCAUGAGUAUUUCCUCCCCAGAAUGCGUUUGGGGUGUUGUUGAGGGGAAAACAGUGUUGCAUCCCACAGCGCCAUGGGACAUGCUCCAAGAACAUCCUCAAUUGUGCAGCCAGAGCAGUCAUGUCCAGCAUUCAGCCUCUGCAGACCCUGGGAGCCUUCCCCCAAAUGUCCAAGCACACAAUGGUCCAGCUGCUGAGAAAGCUCCUGUGUCUUCCUUGAGUGUAAAAGGCUGCCACCACCAGAGUGACAGAGCUGCACAGCCAAGGUUGGUCAUACCUGCUUUGCCAACAAGGAUGAAGCAUCUUUCCACAACCAUGUCCGC